GUCCUUUUGUUAAUAAUUUAAGGUCUAACCUGCCCACUGAAAAUUUAAAUGGCCGUGGUAUUUUGACCGUGCUAAGGUAGCAUAAUCAUUAGUUUUUUAAUUGAAAACUGGAAUGAAAGGUUGUAUAAGAAAAUGACUGUCUCUAUUAAAUUUUAUUAGAAUUUUAUUUUUAAGUUAAAAAGCUUAAUUAAAAUUAAAAGACGAGAAGACCCUAUAGAGUUUAAUUAUUAAUUAAAAAUUAUAUUUUGGGAUUAAUUUAUAUAUUUUAUUUAAUAAUUUAAUUGGGGKGAUUGAAAAAUUUAAUAAACUUUUUUUAUUUUUAAACAUAAAUUUAUGAUUAAGUGAUCCAAUAUUUUUGAUUAUAAGAUAAAAUUACCUUAGGGAUAACAGCGUAAUUUUUUUAUAAAGUUCAAAUUAAAAAAAAAGAUUGCGAC
rnacentral:rRNA from 1 species